GGGACGAGACGGAGUCAUCUUCUCCGAGAGCUUCUUCAUGAGCAAUUCAGUGAGAGUAAGCGAGAGAGAUACCUAGAUAGAGAAAGAGAAAUCUUCUUGGGUUCUAGGGUUCUUCUUCUCCUCCUUCUCUUGUUCUUCGUCUUCAGGUUCUUCUUCCUUGUAAUGUCGAUUGAGUUGUAAUCGGCGGUGAGCGAUUCUUCUUGUGAACCAUGAUCGGGGUUUUUUCCGAUCAACAUAGUGAACGUGAGGCAGCACGAAAGACUCCCCGGAUGUAGCUUCGGUGAACCGGGUCAACAUUUGGUGGUUUCUCUUGAUUAGUAAAUCGAAUGACCAAGAAGUGAAUUGAGGAAUUCAAUUCUCAACAAGUGGUAUCAGAGCCGAGGUUCGGCGACUCAUAGGUUCAAUCGAUUCACGGAGUUCACGACAAUGCAAGCAAAGGAAAUCAAAGGAUGAAUCAGAGUGCUCGAAACCAGAGGAGAAGCAUAUGUUAUUGAUCGAAUCUAUGGAUCGACGAACGGUGAAAACGUUGGCUGGUGAAAGCGACGUCUGAUUCCGGGAAGAAGAAGGUGUAUGGUUAUCGUUGAAGACGCUGGAAUGGGAGAGACGAAGAUUCGUGAAGAAAGAUCGUCGGCAAAGAUAGGAUCGAUUGAGGUGAUUUCAGGAUUGAAUGGAAUCGGGAAAUCUCUAAGUUACAAUCCUCCAUCGGCUCGAGGUUCCGUAACGAUGUGGGUUUUUUGUUCAAAGAACCUGCAGGUGAAUUCGUUACACGUACAAGAAGAGAUAGUUUCAGGGACUUAGGCGAAUACAGUUGGUACAAGAAGGGCUUCUUGUAUCUGUGGGAAACUAAUGGUUUUGAGAUCGAUGAUGAGUAAAGUUUCAUCAUGUUCAGCUCGAUUCAGGAUCAAAGGUAUGAGUUGAAGGUUCUGACUCUAAGUUAUGAUAACUAGAAUCAAGUCAUCAUCUCUUAAGACUCAAGUCUUGAAGAUCAAUUAGUCUAUUAUCCGCUGCAAAUCUCAAGAACAUUUGUGAGGUUAUUAAGUGAAGUUUCAAGAGUCUCAAGGUCUGUUAUCCUAUGGAAUCAAACUUAGCUAGAACACAAAGAAUGAUGAUUUUGACAAAGGGGAGCCAAUGAUUCUUUGCUGGGUUUCAGAUUGAAUUUUUUGGGUUUAAAUGUGGUUGUUGAAAUCUGCUACAGUUAGUGUUCUGGAAACUAUAUUCUGGUUAUUGGGGGACGCCUUAAGAGGAUGAAUUUAUGUGUUAUUGGCUGUUGAAACAUCAGUUACAGGUUGAGAUUCAAGUAUGGGAGCUGCAGGUGGAGUAAGUAGAAACUUGUUCAAGCUGAUUGUUGGGUACAAUACAGUUUUAUGACUAUGAAGACUUCAGGUUAUGAGGGAGUUUUGAUGAGGUUUCGGUUGUAGGUCUAGUCUCUGGGUUAAGCAUCAGAUUCUUGUGAAUCUGAUGUGGUUGCAGGCUUUGAGGUCUAAGUUUUAAGGAGAUCUCACGGGUCUGUGAAUGCAGGUUUUAAUGAUCAAGGUUUCAAAGCAGAUCAUGGAGCUUGUUGCAGCAAGUAUUGUUUCCAUGGAAAUGGAUCAAGGCUGUGGAUGUUUUCUUGGAAAUGGAGCAGUCAAAGCUCAUUAAGGAAAACAUGGAGAGUCAUCUAAGUCUGUAAAAGAAACAUGAAGAAAUUAUAUCUCAAGAAGGAGGUAGCCGGAGCAAAGGCAAAGUGUGUGAAAACAACACAAUUGCUUGUUGGAACAAAGUCACUUUGUGGUAACAACAGCUAGUAGCUUUGAUGAGGUAUUGUGAGUGACAGAUGCAAGGUCGGGCUAGAACUUUCAGUGUCUGACUCAAGGAGUUUCUACAGAAGACUAGAAGUGAUGGACUCUUGAUAAAAACUGAUGGAAAAAUCAGUGUUACAGAAACAAUAAGAAGAAACUUGUUUCUGGCUCUUAUGGUUCAAAGUAAAUGAGUCAAAGAGGAAUGGUUUUGCUGAUUACAGGUUCAUUUGGACAUGAAGACUGCAAGUUCAGGUCUGCAUGAGAUGUCUCAGGAUUUUGCUCUGGUUUUGUUCAUUUGGAAAUUUCAUAGUUGUCAAAGACAGGUUGAUAUUUCUGUAAUAUGAAUGGUGGAGCAUUUGAGAUAUUUGCAGAAGGUGCUAGUUCUGAUGAAUCAAAGUCAGAGUAGUAUGAGGAAAUAAUUAAAAAAAAAAAAAGUCAGGAUGUCUAAGGGUAGAACAAGUUACAGUAUAGUCCAGUUACGGUUGAUGCAUCUUCAAUUUAGUUAGUACAAAAUCAGUUUGGGAACUUCAAAGAAGCAUUGGUCCUUGGUGGGUCUUCUGGUUAUAAAAGAUUAAACUUAAAAGACUAACUCCAGUAUGGUGAAUCAUUUGUCGUACAACUUGACAUAUACUUCAAGGAGGAAGCCGUGAGAGAUCUGAUACACAAGAACAUGUGUAUGGGUCAAAAAGUAUCACUGGAUAAAGGUUUAACUCAUUCAGGUGGAGCUAAGCGUAAGAGACAAAGAAAUAUGAGGGUUCUAGUUUCAGGUGGAGCUAGUGAAAAUCUGUUCCAGGUGGAGCUGUGAAUCAGUAAAGAUGUCUCGGGCCUAUUCAAAACUUCAAGAAUCUGGGAAGGAUUUGGUAUAGCAGCUCCAAAGGAGAAGAGUUAAAUGGGCUUAAACAAAUUUUUAAUGUGAGGGAAGACGUGAAAGCCUAGGUUACAAUAUGAAGUUACAAGCUUGAUUAAAGGUACAAGUUGCAGGUUUUUUUUUUCUGAAGAAAACAAAUAUGCAAGUUUCUGAAUUUUCAGAGAAAAGGCUAAUGAGUAUAGCUUAAGAUGAGGAUAUAGAAGUGAUUGUUCAGUGAAUUCUCUUGACGGGAAACUGAAGGGGACAAGUACAAGUUCUGUAGAAUAUGUCUCAAGUUUGGUGUCACUUCAAGGAGCCGAAGCAGUUAUGCAAAAGCAUGGUAAGGCCGUUCAUCUUAGUGCAGGAAAGUGCGGAAAUCAAGACUGCAUUUGGAAACAGAGACUAGUGAAAGUCUGGUUGUGUUUCUGGUGCAUCAUACGGAGACUGAGAAGGAAUCUUCUCAAAUAGGCACUUGCAGGGAAAGUCAAGUGAAGGAAUUUUCUGUAAUAGAAGCACAGUGAAGUAAAGUAUUUGAGGAAGAUAUUCUAGUAAAGUCUGAAGUUUUUUUUUGAUGCAAGUACCAAGGUUUUUUGGUGGAGUCUGCAUACUGGUGGAAGUUGCAGGGUAUUUCUUCAGCUUAAAGGGACAUCGGGAGCUCAAGUUGAUGUGGUAAUAGCUGAAAGAAAGGUCUCUCAGAUGUAUCACGGGUUUGUUGAUAUGAGAGGUAUAAAGGUUUGCUAGCAGGGAAGUCAACAUCGUUGGUAAAGUUCUGUUAAAACGGAAUGGUUUGAACAAGGUCUAAUGUUCAAAUGUUAACUAUGCAAAACAGGUUUACGAAAGGUCAGUCUUAAAAGUUAUGCGGUGGUUGCUAACUUGUUGUCGAGAUUUUGUUUUGCAGGUUUUGAAUCACAGGUUGUUUCAAGAAAGAAGCAUGUAUGAUUCAAGUGGGAAUCAAGUCUACUUCAAGUAAAGAAGCUAGAAUGGUUCUGGUCUCAGCAAUUGAUCCAAAGAAGUUUUGAUUCAAGGCUCAGUGCACAUGAGUGAAUCAAAAGGACGUCAAAGGAAUCACAUUGCAGGAGGGACGAAGUUUUAAUCACUGUAACAGUUCAUGGUUUUAGCAGAGAUCAUGAAGGAAAACUGUGUGAUUGAUGGUCUUAUAAGUGGUUUAGCUUAUGAGGAUUCUGUUGUGUUAAUAUGUUUAAUGGUUUAUUAUACAUGUUAGUGUUCUGUUUUCUGAGUGGUUUUAACUCAGGUAUCCAGGCGAUGGAAACACAAAGACAAUCAAUGAGAGUUUAGCUUGACAUAAGAAUAUGCCGAAGUGGUACGACUCAGGAGGAGACACGGGACUAGCCAAAGUUUGAGAAAAGCUUUGUGGUUACUUUGUGAUCACUUAGUUGAGCUUGACUAACGUUGUGUCUAGUUUUUCAUUGGUGGUGUAGUAAGUUUAAGGGAUCAAAUUUACGAAUGUGGUUGGUUGGUAUAAGUAAAACUUAUGCAGCUUUGGAGAUUGAGUACCAAGGUUAGAAUCAGGUUUAACAGAUUCUAAGGUCAGUUCAUAAGAGAUCUUUCAAGGUUGUCUCAAGGUGGAGAAUGCUGGAUUUGAUCCAACUUGAAAGCAUUUGAAGAAGAUGUUUAUUCAAGCGUGAAGAAUAAAACCAAAUGGGGACGUGUUUAUAAGCUUCUGCAGGAAUCAGAGGGUCUUGAUACAUGGUUCUAUUUGGGUGCACGUGGGUCUACACGUGUGAGACUAUCUUUGACUAAAACCAGAGAAGUUGUAAGACUUUGGUGACGGGACGGGACGAGACGGAGUCGUCUUCUCCGAGAGCUUCUUCAUGAGCAAUUCAGUGAGAGUAAGCGAGAGAGAGAUAGCUAGAUAGAGAAAGAGAGAUCUUCUUGGGUUCUAGGGUUCUUCUUCUCCUCCUUCUCUUGUUCUUCUUCUUCAGGUUCUUCUUCCUUGUAAUGUCGAUUGAGUUGUAAUCGGCGGUGAGCGAUUCUUCUUGUGAACCAUGAUCGGGGUUUUUUCCGAUCAACAUAGUGAACGUGAGGCAACACGAAAGACUCCUCCGGAUGUAGCUUCGGUGAACCGGGUCAACAUUUGGUGGUGUCUCUUGAUUAGUAAAUCGAAUGACCAAGAAGUGAAUUGAGGAAUUCAAUUCUCA
rnacentral:lncRNA from 1 species